rnacentral:rRNA from 1 species
GACGAACGCUGGCGGCGUGCUUAACACAUGCAAGUCGAGCGGUAAGGCCCUUUCGGGGGUACACGAGCGGCGAACGGGUGAGUAACACGUGGGUGACCUGCCCUCAGCUCUGGGAUAAGCCUGGGGAAACCGGGUCUAAUACCGGAUAUGACUCCAUGACGCAUGUUGUGGGGUGGAAAGCCUUGUGCGGCUGAGGAUGGGCCCGCGGCCUAUCAGCUUGUUGGUGGGGUGAUGGCCUACCAAGGCGACGACGGGUAGCCGGCCUGAGAGGGCGACCGGCCACACUGGGACUGAGACACGGCCCAGACUCCUACGGGAGGCAGCAGUGGGGAAUCUUGCGCAAUGGGCGAAAGCCUGACGCAGCGACGCCGCGUGAGGGAUGACGGCCGU